rnacentral:rRNA from 1 species
CUCCUUUUGGUGUCAGUUGACUUGAUUGGGCGGGUCCAAUAUCAGCCGGAUUCCCCUUGAGAGACUUUUGGGAGGCCUGACGGUCUCACCCAAUGGCUUGGGGUUCUGCCGGCUGUGAGGGGUGGCGAUUAACUCACAUUAAGCAAUCAACUCUAAAGACAGCUCGAUUGGCUAGCAUUGCUGGCUGUAGACUGAACAAAUACAGACAACUCUCAACAACGGAUAUCUUGGCUCCCGUAACGAUGAAGAACGCAGCGAAAUGCGAUACGUAGUGUGAAUUGCAGAAUUCCGUGAACCAUCGAAUCUUUGAACGCAAAUUGCGCUCGAGGCUUCGGCCAAGAGCAUGUCUGCCUCAGCGUCGGCUACUACCCUCAACUAAGUUUCCUAUGAAAGACUAGGGGAUGCCAGUUGGAUAUGGCAGUCCGGUUUGCCUUUCAGGUUGCCGGUCAGCUGAAAUAUAUUCACGCUCUGGGGGCUGCUUUCCUUGAUAGGCUACUUUCAAGGGGAGGCGAGUUCCGAUUUGGUAGGUGACCUUUGCCGGUUACAUGCCUUCGUUGCUCGCUAAGCGUCCCAGUAGUCGUUGUGCAGGACGCCUUUUGGCUUUCGACCUGAGGUCAGGCAAGAACACCCGCUGAACUUAAGCAUAUCAAUAAGCGGAGGAAAAGAA